rnacentral:rRNA from 1 species
UUACCUACGGGGCGCAGCAGUGAGGAAUAUUGGUCAAUGGGCGGGAGCCUGAACCAGCCAAGUCGCGUGAAGGAAGAAGGUACUUAGUAUUGUAAACUUCUUUUGUCGGGGAACAAAGGCGGAGACGCGUCUCCGGAUGAGUGUACCCGAAGAAAAAGCAUCGGCUAACUCCGUGCCAGCAGCCGCGGUAAUACGGAGGAUGCGAGCGUUAUCCGGAUUUAUUGGGUUUAAAGGGUGCGCAGGCGGGAGAUCAAGUCAGCGGUAAAAUGUUGGGGCUCAACCCCGUCGAGCCGUUGAAACUGGCG